rnacentral:rRNA from 1 species
GCUCAGAAGGAACGCUGGCAGCGUGCAUAACACAUGCAAGUCGAACGAUGAAGCAUUCUUCGGAAUGUGGAAGAGUGGCGAACGGGUGAGGAACACGUAAGAAUCUGCCCCUCGGUCGGGGACAACUUUUGGAAACGAAAGCUAAUACCCGAUACGCUGUGGAGUGAAAGAAUUUCGCCGAGGGAUGAUCUUGCGUCUGAUUAGCUAGUUGGUGCGAUAAUGGCGCACCAAGGCGACGAUCAGUAGCUGGUCUGAGAGGAUGAACAGCCACAUUGGAACUGAGACACGGUCCAAACUCCUACGGGAGGCAGCAGUGGGGAAUUUUCCGCAAUGGACGAAAGUCUGACGGAGCGACGCUGCGUGAAGGAUGACGGCCUGCGGGUUGUAAACUUCUUUUCUCGAAGAAGAAGCUCUGACGGUAUUCGAGGAAUAAGCAUCGGCUAACUCCGUGCCAGCAGCCGCGGUAAGACGGAGGAUGCAAGUGUUAUUCGGAAUGAUUGGGCGUAAAGCGUCUGUAGGCUGUAUAGAAAGUCUUUUGUUAAAUGCCUCGGCUCAACCGAGAUCCAGCAAAGGAAACUUCUAUACUUGAGGUAAGUAGAGGUACAGGGAAUUCCCGGUGGAGCGGUGAAAUGCGUAGAUAUCGGGAGGAACACCAAUAUGGCGAAGGCACUGUACUGGGCUUUACCUGACGCUCAGAGACGAAAGCUAAAGGAGUGAUUAGGAUUAGAUACCCUAGUAAUUUUAGCCGUAAACGAUGAAAACUCACUGCCGAGCGAAAUACAACGAGCGGUGGUCAAGCUAACGCGUGAAGUUUUCCGCCUGGGGAUUAC